UACGUAGGGUGCGAGCGUUGUCCGGAAUUACUGGGCGUAAGGAGCUCGUAGGUGGUUUGUCGCGUUGUUCGUGAAAACUCACAACUCAAUUGUGGGCGUGCGGGCGAUACGGGCAGACUGGAGUACUGCAGGGGAGACUGGAAUUCCUGGUGUAGCGGUGGAAUGCGCAGAUAUCAGGAGGAACACCUGUGGCGAAGGCUGGUCUCUGGGCAGUAACUGACGCUGAGGAGCGAAAGCGUGGGGAGCGAACAGG
rnacentral:rRNA from 1 species